GUUUGUUACUAUACCACCCUUGACUCUCUGGAACUUGUCUGAUCUUGGAAGGUAAGCAGGGGUAGGCUUGGUUAGUACUUGGAUGGGAGAAGUUGUUAAUA
rnacentral:rRNA from 1 species